GGUUCUUUGUUCUAAUGGUUAGCACUCUGGACUCUGAAUCCAGCGAUCCGAGUUCAAAUCUCGGUAGGACCU
rnacentral:tRNA from 1 species